rnacentral:rRNA from 1 species
UACGGAAGGGGCGAGCGUUGUUCGGAAUUAUUGGGCGUAAAGGGCGUGUAGGCGGCUUCGCAGGUCUGUGGUGAAAGGAUACAGCUCAACUGUAUUGAGCCGCGGAAACGGUGGAGCUUGAGGCUGGGAGGGGCUGGUGGAAUUCCCUGUGUAGCGGUGAAAUGCGUAGAGAUGGGGGAGAACACUCGUGGCGAAGGCGGCCAGCUAGACCAGUUCUGACGCUGAGACGCGAAAGCGUGGGGAGCAAACAGG